rnacentral:lncRNA from 1 species
GUUUUGUAUUCCCGCUGGUGCCACCUAAGGAUUCAGCCCUUCCAUUUGAGUCCUGCUAGUGCCACCUAAGGAUUCAAACCCUUCCAUUUGAGUCCUGGAAAUUGAUGUCAAUGUAAUUCUGCCAGAUGAGUACAAAGCAGUCAAAGAGAUGAAGGAAUGGGAGACACAGUGUUAAUAUAAAGCAGAGAACUCAAAGUGGAGGAAGAUCUUUCCUCACUCUGCCUAAGAGGUCAAAAUGGCAGCUUCCAAAGAGGAGAAAAGGUACUAAAAGAAUGACUGAAAAAAAGGUGAGGAAGCUGGAAAGUAGCUGGAUAACAGCACGAUAUGCA